CCCAGGCUCUAUAACUAUGCAGCACUGCCUCAAGAAACGGGCAUUUUCUCUGAAGACAAGCCUUAUUCGUUCUUUCAUGUUUCAUAAAGGAUUAUAAAGAUGAAGCAAGGGUUUUGGAAUGGUGAUACCCUGUUCCACACUUCAUCCACCCAACUUGGUGUCAGAGUGAAUCUCAAUUUCUGGAGCACUCGGGAUUUCCUACCAUCAAGCCAACAAGAUCCAGAUGUAAUUUCACUGAUGAGCAAAACAUCUCUGCCAACUGAAUUCCUAUUGAUUAGCAUCUGAUUUUGUUUGUCAGCAAAAAGAAAAAUUUAUUCUUUAAUGGCAUGUUUGGCAGCUUCAAAUCAUCUUUGAAGGAGGCAGAAUAUAACAACGUUGAAUAAAUGGAUUGAAGUGUGC